CAGCAGCCGCGGUAAUACGAAGGGUGCAAGCGUUACUCGGAAUUACUGGGCGUAAAGCGUGCGUAGGUGGUGGUUUAAGUCCGUUGUGAAAGCCCUGGGCUCAACCUGGGAAUUGCAGUGGAUACUGGGUCACUAGAGUGUGGUAGAGGAUAGUGGAAUUUCCGGUGUAGCAGUGAAAUGCGUAGAGAUCGGAAGGAACAUCUGUGGCGAAGGCGACUAUCUGGGCCAACACUGACACUGAGGCACGAAAGCGUGGGGAGCAAACAGGAUUAGAGACCCCAGUAGUCCUUGUCUCUUAUAC
rnacentral:rRNA from 1 species